AGAUAGGAAUUUCUGGAAAGGACCAUUUAACAGAGAGCAGCAGGAGAAAUGAUCAAGAGAGAUGUGGUGCCUAAAUAGAAAAGAAACAGAAGGAGAACCAGAGAAGCAUGGGGACAUUUUUCUUCCUGGGUGAAUGUGGGCUACACUCAGGACAAGCAACAAGACCCCUUGGAGUGCAAAUGUCCCGGACAUCUUAUCAAAAUGCAAAUUCUGAUCCAGAAGAUCCAGGCCCUCUGCUAGGUGCUAGAGAUGCCAAUGGGAUCAAGACAGACACGUUACUUUAUAGAGCGAACCUUCUACAGACUGGGGAAAAACAGCAGCAAUUUCUCUAUGGAGCCAAAGACAAUUUUCCCUGGAGUCAGAUGCAUGAGCAAGUCUGGAUGUGGAAGUGGAUGAACAAGACCUGCCCUGGGGUCACCUGGCAGUAGCCUGGCUGAGGAAGAAGGACCACACCUGAAGUUUACUUGAGAUUGAGUCUCGGCUUAGGAACCAGUGAUCAAUUCAUCCCCCAUAUUUUACGCUCAUUUCUUUAUACCUUUAUAUCCAAACCUUAA